GAUGAACGCUGGCGGCGUGCCUAAUACAUGCAAGUCGAGCGAACAGAUGAGGAGCUUGCUCCUCUGACGUUAGCGGCGGACGGGUGAGUAACACGUGGAUAACCUACCUAUAAGACUGGGAUAACUUCGGGAAACCGGAGCUAAUACCGGAUAAUAUAUUGAACCGCAUGGUUCAAUAGUGAAAGACGGUUUUGCUGUCACUUAUAGAUGGAUCCGCGCCGCAUUAGCUAGUUGGUAAGGUAACGGUUUACCAAGGCGACGAUGCGUAGCCGACCUGAGAGGGUGAUCGGCCACACUGGAACUGAGACACGGUCCAGACUCCUACGGGAGGCAGCAGUAGGGAAUCUUCCGCAAUGGGCGAAAGCCUGACGGAGCAACGCCGCGUGAGUGAUGAAGGUCUUCGGAUCGUAAAACUCUGUUAUUAGGGAAGAACAAAUGUGUAAGUAACUAUGCACGUCUUGACGGUACCUAAUCAGAAAGCCACGGCUAACUACGUG
rnacentral:rRNA from 1 species